AGAUGCGAGAGUAGAGCAUAUCAAUAAGCGGAGGAAAAGAAACUAACUAGGAUUCCCUUAGUAACGGCGAGUGAAGCGGGAAGAGCUCAAAUUUGAAAUCUUCAAGGUUUUACCUUGACGAAUUGUAGUUUAAAGAAGUGUUUUCUGUUGGAGUUUUGGUAAAAGUUCUUUGGAAUAGGACAUCAUAGAGGGUGAGAAUCCCGUAUUUGACCAUUAUUUCCAGCUGUGUGAUACACUUUCAAAGAGUCGGAUUGUUUGGGAAUGCAGUCCAAAAUGGGUGGUAAAUUUCAUCUAAAGCUAAAUAUUGGCGAGAGACCGAUAGCGAACAAGUACCGUGAGGGAAAGAUGAAAGAACUUUGAAAAGAGAGUUAAACAGUACGUGAAAUUGUCAAAAGGGAAGCGUUUGACACCAGUGUUGUUUUCUCGAAAAUCAAUUAAAAAGGAUGGGAUUUUGUGUUGUAUUGACUUUAUCAGCUUUCUGCACUUUUUUCUUAUCUUUUUUAAUGCACUUUUCGUUUAACAAGUCAACAUCAACUUCUUUUGUUGUAAAAGAGUCAUUGGAAGGUGGCUUUUUCUUCGGAAAAGGUGUUUAUAGCCUUUGGCUUCUGCAAUCGGAGAGAUUGAGGUCUGCAGCGUAGAUCCUUCGGGGUUAGAUACAUUUGUGCUAAGCUAUAGUUCUUUAUAGACAACUUGUUGACUAUAAUCAAUCCUGUAACUUACUCGCUUAUGCUAUUUUACCUACGCUUAGGAUGUUGACACACGCGCGUGCUCG
rnacentral:rRNA from 1 species